rnacentral:rRNA from 1 species
UACGUAGGGUGCGAGCGUUGUCCGGAAUUAUUGGGCGUAAAGAGCUUGUAGGCGGUUUGUCGCGUCUGCUGUGAAAACUCGAGGCUUAACCUCGAGCUUGCAGUGGGUACGGGCAGACUAGAGUGUGGUAGGGGAGACUGGAAUUCCUGGUGUAGCGGUGAAAUGCGCAGAUAUCAGGAGGAACACCGGUGGCGAAGGCGGGUCUCUGGGCCGAUACUGACGCUGAGGAGCGAAAGCGUGGGGAGCGAACAGG